GGCCUAGUGGCGAAAUGAAUCGCGCCCUCACUUGUUGAUGAUUUUCCAUGACCGAUACUCGAGGGAGUUCCCGGUUCGAAUCCGGGCUAAGUCA